CGCAAUCACUCUGGAGAGCGAGGCUGUCAGGCCUCCACCGAAGGGGCUAACGGUGCUGCGGCACCGGAAAAUCUCAGGUGCCGGGACAGAGGGGUGUAU
rnacentral:ncRNA from 2 species